GAUGAACGCUGGCGGCGUGCCUAAUACAUGCAAGUCGAGCGAACAGACGAGGAGCUUGCUCCUCUGACGUUAGCGGCGGACGGGUGAGUAACACGUGGAUAACCUACCUAUAAGACUGGGAUAACUUCGGGAACCCGGAGCUAAUACCGGAUAAUAUAUUGAACCCCAUGGUUCAAUAGUGAAAGACGGUUUUGCUGUCACUUAUAGAUGGAUCCGCGCCGCAUUAGCUAGUUGGUAAGGUAACGGCUUACCAAGGCGACGAUGCGUAGCCGACCUGAGAGGGUGAUCGGCCACACUGGAACUGAGACACGGUCCAGACUCCUACGGGAGGCAGCAGUAGGGAAUCUUCCGCAAUGGGCGAAAGCCUGACGGAGCAACGCCGCGUGAGUGAUGAAGGUCUUCGGAUCGUAAAACUCUGUUAUUAGGGAAGAACAAAUGUGUAAGUAACUAUGCACGUCUUGACGGUACCUAAUCAGAAAGCCACGGCUAACUACGUG
rnacentral:rRNA from 1 species